AACGAACGCUGGCGGCAGGCUUAACACAUGCAAGUCGAGCGCCCCGCAAGGAGAGCGGCAGACGGGUGAGUAACGCGUGGGAAUCUACCCAUCUCUACGGAAUAACGCAUGGAAACGUGUGCUAAUACCGUAUACGUCCUUCGGGAGACAGAUUUAUCGGAGAUGGAUGAGCCCGCGUUGGAUUAGCUAGUUGGUGGGGUAAAGGCCUACCAAGGCGACGAUCCAUAGCUGGUCUGGGAGGAUGAUCAGCCACACUGGGACUGAGACACGGCCCAGACUCCUACGGGAGGCAGCAGUGGGGAAUAUUGGACAAUGGGCGCAAGCCUGAUCCAGCCAUGCCGCGUGAGUGAUGAAGGCCCUAGGGUUGUAAAGCUCUUUCACCGGUGAAGAUAAUGACGGUAACCGGAGAAGAAGCCCCGGCUAACUUCGUGCCAGCCGCCGCCGUAAUAC
rnacentral:rRNA from 1 species